GACAGAGGAGGCGAGCGUUAUCCGGAGUUAUUGGGCGUAAAGCGUACGUAGGCGGCUGGUCAAGUCUGAGGUUAAAGACCACAGCUUAACUGUGGGAAGGCCUUGGAAACUGACUGGCUAGAGUGGGGCAGGGGUUGCGGGAAUUCCCGGUGUAGCGGUGAAAUGCGUAGAUAUCGGGAAGAACACCUGAGGCGAAAGAGUGCAACUGGGCCCUAACUGACGCUGAGGUACGAAAGCUUGGGGAGCGAAUGGG
rnacentral:rRNA from 1 species